GAAGGCAGCAGGCACGCAAAUUACCCACUCCCGGCACGGGGAGGUAGUGACAAAAAAUAACGAUACGGGACUCAUCCGAGGCCCCGUAAUCGGAAUGAGACCACCCUAAAUCCUUUAACGAGGAUCUAUUGGAGGGCAAGUCUGGUGCCAGCAGCCGCGGUAAUUCCAGCUCCAAUAGCGUAUAUUAAAGUUGUUGCGGUUAAAAAGCUCGUAGUUGGUUCUGCGUGCCACGCUGUCGGUUCACCGCCUGUCGGUGAGACUGGCAUGCCGUGGCAUGUCCUGUCGGUGGCUUCACAGGCUCCGCGGCGCGCCCUACGCGUUGACACGUGUAGGUAGUUGCGCCGCGGUGUCCUUGUAGGCCGGCUCAAUCCUUCCCCGGUGCUCUUUACCGAGUGUCGGGGUAGGCCGACACUGUUUACUUUGAACAAAUUAGAGUGCUUAGAGCAGGCUCUAUAAGCAGCCUGAAUAAUGGUGCAUGGAAUAAUGGAACAGGACCUUGGUUCUAUUUUGUUGGUUUUAGGAAUCCAAGGUAAUGAUCAAUAAGGACAGGCGGGGGCAUUCGUAUUGCGACGUUAGACUUGGCAAAUGCUUUCGCGGUGAAAUUCUUGGAUCGUCGCAAGACGCACUAGAGCGAAAGCAUUUGCCAAGUAUGUCUUAAUUGAUCAAGAACGAAAGUUAGAGGUUCGAAGGCGAUCAGAUACCGCCCUAGUUCUAACCAUAAACGAUGCCAGCCAGCGAUCCGCCGGUGUUCCUCCGAUGACUCGGCGGGGAGCUUUCCCCGGGAAACCAAAGCUUUUGGGUUCCGGGGGAAGUAUGGUUGCAAAGCUGAAACUUAAAGGAAUUGACGGAAGGGCACCACCAGGAGUGGAGCCUGCGGCUUAAUUUGACUCAACACGGGAAACCUCACCAGGCCCNUGACAUUAGAAGGAUUGACAGAUCGAUAGCUCUUUCUCGAUUCAGUGGGUAGUGGUGCAUGGCCGUUCUUAGUUGGUGGACUGAUUUGUCUGGUUAAUUCCGAUAACGAACGAGACUCUGGCCUAUUAAAUAGACGGCGCUCCCGGUAUACAUACCUACCGGCGCUAUAUUUUUCUUCUU
rnacentral:rRNA from 1 species